rnacentral:rRNA from 1 species
GACGUAGGGCGCGAGCGUUGUCCGGAUUUAUUGGGCGUAAAGAGCUCGUAGGCGGCUCGUUGCGUCAAUCGUGAAAACCUACUGCUUAACGGUGGGCUUGCGGUUGAUACGGGCGGGCUGGAGUUCGGUAGGGGAGACUGGAAUUCCUAGUGUAGCGGUGAAAUGCGCAGAUAUCAGGAGGAACACCGGUGGCGAAGGCGGCUCUCUGGGACGGUACUGACGCUGAGACGCGAAAGCGUGGGGAGCGAACAGG